ACACCUGAAGCCUAUCAGCCCAACUACCGAGCUUGCCACUGAAGAAAUGCAUUGGGUGUGGGUUGCUAAAUGCUAGAGGUUUAUAAAAUGGUGAUCGAGGCUUGGAGGCCUGACAUAAAAGAGCACUGUUGGGCUGGCUCAGUUUGGAGUAGGAAGGUGACUUCCCCAGUCCGAAGAGAAGCUAGUGAGGAGAGAUAGCUCCUGUGUAUUCUCUGCAGAGGCAACGCUUGGGCUGAAAGCUCCUGAUGGCUGUGGAUAUUACCUCCUUGCUGCCUCAUCUCCUGAGUAUGGUAUGUCCUGGCCUUUACCAAGAUGAAACGGAACUCCAAUGGGUGGCUUUCUUAAAAUACAGAGAACCUUUCUUAGAGAUUCUUUUCUGGCAGAUGGAAGUUAUCCCUGAUGACUAUUCCGGUCCAGGAGUUCUUCCUCCGAAUGAGUUGCCCAAAUCACUGGAACUUCACCUGGAACAUAGAAAGUAUACAGACGAUCAGGAUCGUGACUGGGAGAUCCUUUAUGUUUCAGA